UUUGACCUCGGAUCAAGUAGGGAUACCCGCUGA
rnacentral:rRNA from 1 species